GGCGUAUAAUAAACAAACAAACAAACAGGAGGAAAGCAAAAGACAAAUAAAAUCAAAGGCAGGCGUAUUUUAGCCGUCCGCCAUUUCCAUCGCUCUCUCUCUCGUUUUCUCUGCUCAUCACUAUAACGACGGCCUCUCUUCUGCAUCAUCUGAUCUGAUUUCGAUGGCUGCACCACCUGCUAGGGCAAGAGCCGAUUACGAUUACCUCAUCAAGCUUCUCCUUAUCGGUGACAGCGGUGUUGGUAAAAGUUGUUUGCUGUUGAGGUUCUCUGAUGGCUCUUUCACCACUAGCUUCAUCACCACCAUUGGGAUUGAUUUUAAGAUAAGAACUAUUGAGCUUGAUGGCAAACGCAUCAAGCUUCAGAUUUGGGAUACUGCUGGUCAAGAACGUUUUCGAACCAUCACCACUGCUUAUUACAGAGGGGCAAUGGGCAUUUUGCUGGUGUAUGAUGUCACAGACGAGUCAUCCUUCAACAACAUUAGGAACUGGAUUCGUAACAUCGAGCAGCACGCUUCCGAUAAUGUCAACAAGAUCUUAGUAGGGAACAAAGCCGAUAUGGACGAGAGCAAGAGGGCCGUACCAAAAGCAAAGGGUCAAGCACUUGCUGAUGAAUACGGAAUCAAGUUCUUUGAAACUAGUGCCAAAACAAAUUUAAAUGUGGAGGAAGUUUUCUUCUCGAUAGCAAAGGACAUUAAGCAGAGACUCGCAGAUACUGACUCCAGGGCAGAGCCUUCGACGAUUAGGAUCAGCCAAACAGACCAGGCUGCUGGAGCCGGACAGGCUACGCAGAAGUCUGCUUGCUGUGGAACUUAAAAAGUCCCAAAGAAUUUCUGAAGGUGAAAAAGAAAAACUGAUUGUUCUUGGCUGCGUUUGUAGUUCUUUUUUACUUUGAUGAUGAUUUGAUUUGGUUUUAAGUUGGCAUUCUUAGCUUGUUAUGAUGGUAAUAGAAUCUUGAAGAAAUCGUUCACUCUCAGAUAGAUUCCAUCUCUUAAUUUGAUUCUGUGGCAACAUUGUUAAAACUCAAAUCUCGUUAUUGUCUUUUGCUUUCUC